rnacentral:sRNA from 1 species
GGUUUGCGUGAAGGAUCGCAGCGGAAAUCCUCCCGUUUUUUUCGGGAGAUUGCAGCGUAGAGCCUGACCCUUG